rnacentral:pre_miRNA from 1 species
AAAGUACUCCCUCCGUCCCAAAAUUCUUGUCUUAGGUUUGUCUAGAUACGGAUGUAUCAAGUCACAUUUUAGUAUUAGAUACAUCCAUAUCUAGACAAAUCUAAGACAAGAAAUUUGGGACAGAGGGAGUAGUUG